rnacentral:rRNA from 1 species
AGCUCCAAUAGCGUAUAUUAAAGUUGUUGCAGUUAAAAAGCUCGUAGUUGGAUUUCGGACUGGUGCGUGGUCGGUCUGCCGCAAGGUGUGUUACUGACUCGUGCUGUCUUCUUCUCAGAGUCCUGCUGUGUACUUAACUGUGCGCAGUAUUUUGGAAUUUGAGACGUUUACUUUGAAAAAAUUAGAGUGUUCAAAGCAGGCUAUUUAUUGCCGGAAUACAUGAGCAUGGAAUAAUGGAAUAGGACUGCGGUCUUAUUUUGUUGGUUUCUGAGACCAUAGUAAUGAUUAAGAGGGACAAUUGGGGGCAUCCGUAUUUCGUUGUCAGAGGUGAAAUUCUUGGAUUUACGAAAGACGAACAACUGCGAAAGCAUUUGCCAAGAGUGUUUUCAUUAAUCAAGAA